GUGAAUCAUCGAAUCUUUGAACGCACAUUGCGCCCGCCGGUAUUCCGGCGGGCAUGCCUGUUCGAGCGUCAUUUACACCGCUCAGGCUCUUGUGGCCUGGUGUUGGGGCUGCUACGGUACGCCGUAGGCCCCCAAAGUCAGUGGCGAGCCUGCCGGGCCUCCGAGCGCAGUAAAAUGCCUCGCUCCGGAGCCCCCCGCGGGACCUGCCGUAAAGCAAACCCCAUUUACAACCUUGACCUCGGAUCAGGUAGGGAUACCCGCUGAACUUAAGCAUAUCAAUAAGCGGAGGA
rnacentral:misc_RNA from 1 species